GUCCUGGCUGUAAACGAUGAGCACUUGGUGUGGCGGGUAUCGACCCCUGCCGUGCCGAAGCUAACGCAUUAAGUGCUCCGCCUGGGGAGUACGGCCGCAAGGCUGAAACUCAAAGGAAUUGACGGGGGCCCCGCACAAGCGGUGGAGCAUGUGGUUCAAUUCGACGCAACGCGAAGAACCUUACCUGGGUUUGAACUGCAGGUGACAGCCCUCGAAAGAGGGUCUUCCUUCGGGACACCUGUAGAGGUGCUGCAUGGCUGUCGU
rnacentral:rRNA from 1 species